CUGUUUUGUUGUUGGGUCACGAGUGCGCCUCUGCACGCAGGCGCCGCCGCCGCCCGGGAGCUGACUUUUGGAGGGUUGAGUUGCAGGCGGCGGGCGCAUCCCAGAGAUGGCGGGGCAGGGAGGAAGGGAAAGAGAGGAGGGGGUGGAGAGGGAGGUGCAGCUUUGCACGGAUGGCCUCAGCGGGAGGCACGGAAAUGCUAGCCGAGCCUGCUGGCGUGAAAGCCCCCGGGGCCUGGCACCCCCCAAAACGACCCCCUACCUCUGCCCCUGCCCCCUUUCUCGGAUUACCCACGGCUGCCCCUUUCUUCCUGAGUCUACUUCACCUUAUUACCUGUGCUGGCGACCUAAAUUUAAAGUAUUUUCCUCAGUUGAAGAGCCUGAAAUAAGAAGUUGGGCAAGAAAAGAAAAAAAGUCUCUACACUCGCUGAGAAGAGAUAAAUCGAUAUACGGGAGGGAAAUAGAGAAUCGGAGUUAGCGUCUAUAAUGCAACUCACACGCAGGAGAAAGUCCUCAGUCCCUUGUGGAUUGAAGUCAAAAAGGAAAAACAAAAUUGUGCAGAGACUCUCAGGCCUGACCCUUGGGGGAAAGUUUAAUGUUCUCCAUAGAAUCCUGCUUUUCGUCCUGUUUCCCUUUCUGUGUAAGGAUGGGAAGAACCCUCGAGGCCACAGGUGAGUUAAAGGGUUAAUACUGUGAAGAGAGCCAUAAAAGUUCAAAGAUUCUUUCAAAAGUUGUAUCUUGGGAUUGAUGGACGUGUAUGGUAGCCAAUGGAAAUAAAAAGGCAUGCAUUACUUCAUCAUGCUCGGUUGUCACUGGUUGACAGUCCUUGAGGGAUGGACAAGAAGGCUGGUAGUUAACCCUUUGCAUGUCUUUUAUUUUGAAAGAUGAAGCAAAGACAGAGGAGCCUCAGAAAGUCAGUCCACCUCCAGGUGCUGACUUUGGUCCAACCCUGGAGGCAGACCUCUCCUAUCAAAGUAACGUCAGGGAAGACAUCCUGGAGGAAAGUUUUGAACUUUUAAAGACAAGGAAUCAGCUGACCUCGCUGAGUAGGCGGCCAGGGGAGAAGUUUGAUUCUGUUUUUGUGCUGUCAGAACAGAGCCAUGGAGACAUUUCCAUUAAUCUUGUAAAGUGAUCAGUCACUGGAAGGAUUGAAUUGCAUUUCCUGCCCAGAGAUGUGGAGACAGAUGACCUUUGCAGCAGCCCUCAGACCCCCAGUUCACAGCUGGAGAGAGGAUGUGUCAGCAUUUACUUUCCAGUCUCACCCAGCCCUUUGUUCAGAACUCAAACCCUUUGUGCUCAGGCUGCAGGGGGAUUUUGCAGUGGUUGAUGCAGGUUUUUUUUUUCCCUAACCUCCCACUUCUUACAGCUUCUGAGAAACAAACUCUAUUUGGCAGAAGAUGGUAUCGAAGAGCUGCCCCAGAGGGAGAACCAGAAUAGAGGUGGGAAAUUUUGUGAAGCUACUUGCCCUUUAGGCAAUAACCAUUGUCACUUCCUAGGUUUCCUGAACAGUCCAGGCUAAACUGGAGGGAGCCACAAGUCCAGCAAAUUCAUAAUGCCUCAUGUUUAAGUGGCGCUAUUAAAAAAGAGAGAAAGCAAGGAAACAAAGCUUUUCUGUGUAUUAUUUCAAUUCAAAGGCACUGAACACUGUAACCCUCAAGAUACAAGGUGCUGGCCAGUCUGUUUGCUCACCUGUACAAUGGAAGAUGUAGAAACACUCGUCUCAUGGGUACUGUAUGAGCCAGGGUUAGGAAGGGGUUCAUCCAAUGAUGCUAUUCAAAUGAAACUGACCUUCUGGGCACCACAACCCUACCAUUUUGAUUUCUUCCAAGUUUAAGGUUCAGAGGGGAGUCACCUGUGAAGGAUGGAGUGGCUUUUUCCCCAGCCAUAGCCCCUCUUAGCCUGACCUCAUUGCUCUAUGUAUUUUGAGUCCUUUGACUAAACAUUGUCUCCUGCAGGCCUUUGCACCUGCUGGUUCCUCCCUUCUGCGUUUCAGCCUAUUAGCCUCCGCCUCUCUAACAUCUGGCUAGAAUCUACUUGGGUAUCUUACUUCCUGCCACCUCUAGUGCUGAGCACAUUAUGUUGUCCUGAGGUUUCUCUAGCAGAUAACAAAAUGCAAGGAUACUCAAGUCCUAUAAUGGUAGUGUUGCCUUAGAACUCCCAUCUUCCAGGUAUUAUUUGAAUUAUUUCAAGAUUAUUU